rnacentral:lncRNA from 1 species
AUACCACACUCAAUUAUUCUACAAUAGAACACUGGAGAGAAAGAGAUGCAGGUGGGGAGGAAGGAGGCAGGAAUAAUGGGAAUAGGUGGAAGAGAAGGCGGAAGAUGUAUUUAUCCGGAUACAAUCAAAGAACCAUUUCAGAGGAAAAAGGAGAAUGUGAGGCUAUAAUGACAAAGCAGCCAUCUGCACACCAGGAAGGGGCACUCACCAGACAUCAGAGCUGCCGGCACCUUCACCUUGGACAUCCCAGCCUCCAGAACUGUAAAAAAUAAAUGUUUGUUGUUUAAGCCA